UUUUAAAAAAAUCGAGACUAGUUUGUAUAAUUUUCUCUCUGACAUAUAUUAUGUAAAUUAUUCCAAUUUCUGUUGAAUGUUUAUGCAAUUCAUAAGCAGAGAGUUGAGUAUACCAAAUUGCCGAGGCCUAAGAGAAAACGGAAGAAGACGACGGAAAGAAUGGGCGUUGAUUAUUACAAGAUUCUUCAGGUUGAUCGUAAUACUAACGACGAGGACUUGAAGAAAGCGUACAAGAAGCUCGCCAUGAAGUGGCAUCCAGAUAAGAAUCCUGAGAACAAAAGCGAUGCUGAAGCCAAAUUCAAGAAGAUUUCAGAAGCUUAUUUGGUUUUGAGUGAUCCUCAAAGACGAGCUGUGUAUGAUCAGUUAGGAGAGGAGGGUUUAAACUUGAAGAUGGGAACGCCAUCGCCAAGUGGUUCUUCGACUGGGUUUUCCUUUGAUGUGAAAAGUAGUUCCAAUGAUUUGUUUAUGGGGUUGUUUGGUUUUCCGAACCCUUUUGGAGGGAUGGAACACAUGGCUGAUCACUCUCGUGCUGCUGGUUAUAGUUUUUCAGAUGGUUGGUUUGGUGAUAAUAGGUAUUCUUCCCUUAGACAUGGAGUUGGUCUUGGCUCCAAUUAUAUGAGGAAAGGUGCUACAAUAGAGAGGACUUUGCUGUGUAGUUUAGAAGAACUAUACACGGGUUGUGUGAAGAAGAUGAAGAUUGCUAGUGAUGCCAUCGAUAAUAUUGGGAGACCUACUACAGUGGAUAAAAUCGUAGCAGUAGACAUCAGGCCUGGAUGGAAGAGGGGAACUAAAAUUACAUUUCCAGAAUUGGGAGAUCCACAUUCAAGAGUAAUACCCUCAAAGGUUGUGCUUACCCUUGAUGAAAUACCUCACAGGGUUUUCAAAAGGGAUGGCAACGAUCUUAUUGCCACCCAAGAGAUCACUCUGGUUGAAGCUCUAACAGGAUACACUGUGCAUCUAACAACUCUUGGUGGUCGAAACCUGAUGAUUCCGAUCGAUUCAGUCGUUGGGCCCAGUUAUGAAGAAGUAGUCAUGGGAGAAGGGAUGCCAUUUCCUAAGGAACCUUCAAGAAAUGGGAAUUUGAGAAUCAAAUUCAACAUUAUGUUCCCCAUCAAACUGACGUCAGAGCAAAAAAUGGGGAUCAAUCAGUUAUUAACCUCUUCAUAGAAGAUGAUCUCCUAUUUUCUCUUUCCGCCAUGGAAAUUCCUUCCACCACUCCCAAAACCGUCGAAGAAAUUUUCAAAGAUUACACUGCUCGCCGUGCCGCUCUUGUUCGCGCCCUUGCUCACGAUGUCGAUGAAUUCUACGGCCUUUGUGAUCCAG